rnacentral:rRNA from 1 species
GUCCACACCGUAAACGUUGGGCGCUAGGUGUGGGACUCAUUCCACGAGUUCCGUGCCGCAGCUAACGCAUUAAGCGCCCCGCCUGGGGAGUACGGCCGCAAGGCUAAAACUCAAAGGAAUUGACGGGGGCCCCGCACAAGCGGCGGAGCAUGCGGAUUAAUUCGAUGCAACGCGAAGAACCUUACCUGGGUUUGACAUAUGCCGGAAAGCCGUAGAGAUACGGCCCCUUUUAGUCGGUAUACAGGUGGUGCAUGGCUGUCGU